rnacentral:rRNA from 1 species
GACGGGACCCCGCACAAGCAGCGGAGCGUGUGGUUUAAUUCGAUGAUACGCGAAAACCUUACCUGGGUUUGACAUGCAAGUGGUAGGAAUCUGAAAGGGGACCGACCCUUCGGGGAGCUUGCACAGGUGCUGCAUGGCUGUCGUCAGCUCGUGUCGUGAGAUGUUCGGUUAAGUCCGCUAACGAGCGCAACCCUCGUCGUAUGUUAUAUGUGUCAUACGAGACUGCCGGUAAAAAGCCGGAGGAAGGUGAGGAUGAUAUCAAGUCAGCAUGACCUUUAUAUCCAGGGCUACACACACGCUACAAUGGUCUGUACAAUGGGUAGCCAAGCCGCGAGGCGGAGCCAAUCCUGAAAGCAGGCCUCAGUUCAGAUUGCAGUCUGCAACUCGACUGCAUGAAGCCGGAGUUGCUAGUAACCGCAGGUCAGCAAUACUGCGGUGAAUACGUUCCCGGGUCUU